GAAGGGCGAAGUAUAACCAUAGCUACAUGCCUGUCUAUGUGGUUUGGUUCUAUGGAGUGGCUGCUGUAUUGUUUUGAUUAGGAUAAUCAUUUGGACAGGUAACGUAGCUACGGAUUAGCUACGUGAUCUAAGAUCUCCCCUGUAGUCAUAGAAGUCAUGGAUGAGCAGACAGGCUCUCCUGGAGCCAAUAACGACAACAACAGCCAAAGAAAUGGAGAUGAGAAGCCCCGACGUGGCAGCUGGACCAAGGGGAGGAAGAGGAAGAAGCCAAUGAAGGACAGCAAUGCACCCAAGGCCCCCCUAACGGGCUACGUUCGCUUCAUGAACGACAGACGAGAGCAGCUACGGGCAGAGCGUCCAGACGUGCCAUUUCCAGAGAUUACGAGGAUGCUGGGCAACGAGUGGAGCAAGCUGCCGCCCGAGGAGAAGCAGCGAUACUUGGAUGAGGCGGAGCGAGAUAAGGAGCGCUACAUGCGGGAGCUGGAGAAGUACCAGAAGACCGAGGCUUACAAACAUUUCACCAGGAAGGUUCAGGAGAAGCAGAAGGGCAAGCGGCACAGGGGAGAUGUUGGACACCAGGUAGCCAACGAGGCUCUUCAUGAGAAGGAUGCAGAAGGCAAGGACAGAACUGUUUUUGACAUACCAAUCUUCACAGAGGAGUUUCUCAACCACAGCAAAGCACGUGAAGCUGAGAUGCGGCAGCUGCGCAAAACCAACAUGGAGUAUGAGGAGCGUAACGCAGCGCUGCAGAAACACGUGGAGAGCAUGCGCGGGGCAGUAGAGAGGCUGGAAGGCGACGUGAUGCAAGAGAGAGGACGCAACGGCCUCCUCCACCAACACCUGGAGACCCUGCGCCAGGCACUCACCUCAAGCUUCUCCUCCGUACCUUUGCCAGCUAGUGGAGAGACGCCCACUCUUGACAGCAUUGACUCGUACAUGAAGAAGCUCCACAGCAUCAUAGUCAGUAACCCCCAGGAACAUGAGAAUCUCAUCAACACUGUGAGAGACGUGGUCAACCGUUUGGACAGAUAAUUGGACCAAGUCCCACUGAUUUGAUGGAUUGAGAGUCACAGUGACGUUCAGUAGAGGCUGCUCCUUGACGGGGAAUCUUCCGGACGAAAAACCUCUUUUAUUACUCUGCUAUUGUAAUGUAGGUGAAGGUUAUGUAGCGUCUCAUAUUUAUUUAUAAUUGUUAAAAAAUAACUUUUUAUAAAAUAAUGGUAGGACAUGAAACAGUUUCAUGUCACUCGUUGCGCCUGUUGUGUCUUCACUGUCCAUUUAUAGCAAAUGCUUCCACAGCAAUAUCUAAAGCAUCAUACAAAAUGUGCAAAAAUGUUCUGAUCAAAGAAAAAUGUAUCAGUGGGUUUGUGUUUCCAUUUCCAAGAAAACCUGUUGAGCAGACUUUCCUUUAUCCUACUCUGUUAAAGAGAAAACGUGCCAUUUAUUUUUUUUUCCUGUGUGAAAAAGUGUUUGUGUUUUCAAUAAACGUUAUUUACAUCAU